CGCGAAGCCCCUCCAGGGACCUGGUCUUUCAUCUCCGUGGUGAGCAGGGGGACGUUUCCCAAACGGUGCCCAGGCAAACGGGUGAGGAUCACCACGGCUGGCCCAUCACCUAGGCCUGGAGAUUCCUCUUUCAGCCUAUCGCCCCUUGUGGCUGAACAAAACCUGGGUGACGUGCCAAGGAGGAAAGCCGCAAAGAGGGAAAAGGGCGACACUUACCUAAUGGGAAAGACUCGGGCAAACUACAGAGAAGACACACACCCGCGUGGCACCCCCUCAGUUUUCCAGGUAGACAGGUUGCUGGGGGCAGGCGCUGUGGACAGGACCCAGUGGGUAUCACCUGUCUCUUUCUUGCCAGGAGUACCCGAGUUGCUGGGUACUGAGUGGUCAAGUGUUCUCCAGAGAUGGGGGGGCGACUUAAUUUGUCUCUGGCCACCAUGGUAAAUCCGUUCCCCCUGCCAAGUGACCAGUAUGGGAUGGAAUGAGACGUCAAGGGGAGUCUUCUGCCGAGGUUCUGGAAGGGGAUGGAGGGAAGGAGGCCCCUUCCAGUCCUGACGCAGGGCUCUGGUUGGGGAAGGGGGGUGUCUUUGCUGCGGUGGCUAAUCCUACAGGGUGGGGGGCAGCAGCCGCCUUAGGGAAAAUGGGUCCUGGGUGGUGCUGUCAAGUUUCUAAACUAAUCAUGCGUUUAACCACUCAACCCCCAAACUUCUUGUAGUAUGGGAUAACACGUUUUCUUCUUUGUUUAGGCCAUUUCUGAUUUUUUUUGUGGAUUUUUUGUUUUGUUUUGUUUCAUUUUUUUUGUUUGUUUUUGCUUUUUAGGGCUGCACCCACAGCAUAUGGAAGUUCCCGGGCUAGCGGUCCAACUGGAGCUGCGGCCGCCAGCCUACACCACAGCACAGCUCAUGGUAGCACUAGAUCCUUCGCCCACUGAUAGAGGCCGGGGAUUGAACCUGCAUCCUCAUGAUCCAGUCAGAUUGUUAACUGGGGAGCCACGAAGGGACUCCCUAGGCCAUUUCUGUUUGAUUCUCUGUUGCUUGCAGUCAAA
rnacentral:lncRNA from 1 species